UUAAAUUGAAGAGUUUGAUCAUGGCUCAGAUUGAACGCUGGCGGCAGGCCUAACACAUGCAAGUCGAACGGUAACAGGAAGCAGCUUGCUGCUUCGCUGACGAGUGGCGGACGGGUGAGUAAUGUCUGGGAAACUGCCUGAUGGAGGGGGAUAACUACUGGAAACGGUAGCUAAUACCGCAUAACGUCGCAAGACCAAAGAGGGGGACCUUCGGGCCUCUUGCCAUCGGAUGUGCCCAGAUGGGAUUAGCUAGUAGGUGGGGUAACGGCUCACCUAGGCGACGAUCCCUAGCUGGUCUGAGAG
rnacentral:rRNA from 1 species